rnacentral:rRNA from 1 species
GUGAUAACCGCUGAAAGCAUCUAAGCGGGAAGCACGUUUCAAGAUGAGGUUUCCAGGCCCGCGAGGGCGAGAGGCUCCCAGCUAGACCACUGGGUUGAUAGGCCGGACGUGGAAGCACAGUAAUGUGUGGAGCUGACCGGUACUAAUAAGCCGAUAACUUGACUAA